CAAAGGGGUGGUUCUGCUUCAUUCAUGCCUUCCUUAUAGAGCAGAGCUACAGAGUUGCUUUGUGCUCAGGAACUCAGGGAUUAGUGUCCAGCUGGACUGCAGAUGCAGGCUGGGUAUCCUUUCUCACAAUCUGCGGCUACCUUAGGGCUGGGCAGAUUUUGGCUGAAUGAGAUGGCAGUUUGAAUAGAGAUGGCAGUCCCCCGACAGUUGGCAUUGUGCUCCAUCAGCUGCACCAACUCUGAGAACAUGAGCUGAAAUCUUGUAUUGUGUCAAGAAGACCAGCCAUAUUAUGUUAGGUGGAAACUCUUCCAUCUUUCACUGAGACAACUACAAUGUGAAAAAAUAUGUUCCUGGAAAGCUGGCAGAAAGCAGAAACUUCGGCCCUGUGAAAUCUGCAUCUGUGACCACGCAGAUGAUUCUGUGAUUCCAUGAAAGCAGGUAUCCUUCUUAAGGAGGGAAUAUCUUUCAUAAGAAGAAACAACUUUGAAGCACCUAGGAUCGAAGAGAGAAUUUCUGCCUCAAUGAUCUCACAGCUGCACCUGCUCUCACCUAACAGUGGUCAUGGAUGGGGACCAAGCUCACGGACUGACCACAGCCAGGAGCACCAUACCUUCUUCCACCUCCAUCACUGGGAACCUUGCAGAAGUAAUGUAGCCCACAGCAGUAUUUCCACAUAACAAGAUUGCUUUAGUUAGUCUUUUGCCAGGAAACAGAGUCAGAGUUAUUGUGGAAACAGCCCAUUUCUAUGCAGUCAGAGCCUCAGAAGCUGCCUGGCUUUGGGAGCAAAGCUUCUGAUGCUGUCUUGAAUGCUGGUGCAGGAGAGCCUGAUUAGCCACACAAACAUGGUUACCGUGAAAAAGCUAGUAAAUCCUUUCACUCUGAUGCUUCAAAAGAAAAUAACAUUUUCUUUAUGAGAACUUAUCCAUAACAAUAUUUCCGUUGUUUAGUGUAUCCUUGCUGAAAGCAACUUUACUGCAAUCCUCAGAGAAAACUGCCUACAACAGCUAGCUUACACAGUAGCUAGCACUAUUUUUGUGCUUUGUUCCUGCCAGAGGAAGAGUUAAAACAUUUCUUUUCUGUUUACCUUACUCACUCCGCUGCCUCAUUGAGUAACUCUCAAUGCUGAAUCUUGCUGAAGCAAGAGACAAAACUCCCACGUGGAUAUAUGGACCCAGGGCAUGAUCCUGAGAGAGAAAAUUUUUAUUACGGGGAACCAAAUCUUUUCAUUAACUCUGUUUGCUACAGGUAGCGACAAUGUUCACCAUUUCUUACAACACCUCAAAUGUUCAAAUAUGACUACUUUUUAGUUACCUUGUUGCAUUUAUAGUAGCAAGAAGUACCUGGAAAGUCAGGGCGCUUGGUGGGUCAGCACUGCAAGCCUGUAUAAAGAGGCUGUAUAAGCCUGCUGUACAAGCGUGAAAAAGCUGGGGGCUUCCCCUGGUGUAGGCAGCAUCAGCACUCUCUAAAUAUCAGCACUUAAUAUUCUUCCUCAGGGAGAAUAUGCCCUAGAACGACCCGGACUAACACGUUCAUUCUGUUAUGCUCUGUUUAAGCAGUCCGUCUGCUUUUAUUUCCGUACCUUUUCUUUAUUUCAAAAUCAGGUCAAACUGGAGCAAAGAGAAUUUCCCAUUGUGUGUCAAGUUCUCGACACUCCUUGUUUAACACAUUGCAGCUUUAACAUCCGUAUCAACCGGACCGAAGCUGCACAGGUCCUCAGGUUCGGCGGGGUGUGUGUGCUAGUCCCACGUGUUAAGUCACUGGCUCAUGGUUAACACCUAUCACGGAAGGUGAUACCUUCCCCUCAUAAGACCCUCAUAAGACUCCUGCCAGCCUCGUGGCACCGUGCAACACUUCUGGUGCAUAUAUCUGUCUGAUUUGUCAGAAGACCCAAGUUUAUUCAUUAGCUGUGUCGUUUGUUUCCUUACUUACCUGGAGUUACAGAACUUUGUCAGCAAAUAACGUUUACGCAGGGAAUUCUUUAUAUAGUACCUCCACACACAAAGUUACACGGUAGUUGUAGGUUGUUAUUAUUUUUGUUGUGGUUUUCACAGCUUGUCUCCAUUAACACUGAAUGCUAAUAAACAUGCUUUUUGUGUAGCUUCCUAAAAAGCU
ensembl:lncRNA